GGGUGACUAGUCUAGUGGUCAGGACGCUUCGUUGUGGUUCGGCAAGCCACCGAUACAUGACGACCGAAGAAACCCCGGUUCGAUUCCGGGGUCGCCCA